AGCUGGGGAUCUGCAGGGAUUGGAAUGAGAAGAGAGGGAUUAAUAGAAAGAUUAUCACAAAGGGGGAGAGAAUGAGAUUGUGACAAAGGGCAGAAGACAAAGGAAGAAAGAAAGGGGGCAAACAGAAGGCAGCAAUAAAACUAUGAUGCAUAUAGUGACAAAGAAUUGAUCACAUUAAGAGAAGAGGUGUAGAGGUCAUUGAUGAAGGAAUGAGGUAAGAAGAGUGACAUUAACGGAAACUGACAAGGCAAACGGCGAAGUAUUGUACACAUCAUAAAAAAAAAAUAAGAACACCAAGGAAGCCGUUGAGGCAUACGUUGAUCACGCUGGACCCGUUAACGCAACUCAACAUCUACCUGAAGCAAAGCAGUCGCUUCUACGAUAUGUCUCGGGAGCAGUUGGAAGGGGUAGUCCGUACAGUCGAAACCCUAUUAGCAGAGGCAGAAGCGCUACGAGCCCGAUGCCAGCGACAGAGUGAUGAGGUGAAGCAACUCUGUGAAGACUUGAGAAAUGAAAACCGAGACCUGGUAGACCGAUUUUCUCAAGCGGAGCGAGAUCUCACUGAUGUCAAACGUUCUAUCAAUGAGCUGAUGGACACCAAAAUAGCAUUUGAAGCCCGGGAGAGGCAAGUGCGAAAAUUGAGCAAGCAACUGUAAUAAAGGACACUGGACUUUUCAGUCUUAUAGCCACAGAAGAACAUAGUUUUAUUACAGCCUUGGCUACCUCCACUUCCUCUUAUCGCCUCCUCUAACUUUUCCCAAUCAUGUAGAUAAUUUCAGGUUGUUUAAAUGCUUUUUGGAUUGUUAAAUUAAUUAAUCUUAAUCUAAAGUGAUCCAGUAACUUACAGUAGACUGAAAUGUGGAAAACACACAAUGGGGCAUUUAUGAAACAUUGAGCAGCUAAUUCUUCUUCUUAGCUGCCACAUUUUUUUGUUAUUAUUGGCCAAUCUUUUGUUCUUUCUGUAAAACAGGCUUGUUGGUUUUGUUCAGCACAAGAAUUUGUCAUUUAUCUUUCUUUUCACGACCACAGUUUUUCCAUUGUCAUUUAGCCAUCUUUGUUAUACUUUAUUUGCACAAUUAAAGCUGUGAAAUUG